rnacentral:rRNA from 1 species
UACGUAGGGGGCAAGCGUUAUCCGGAUUUACUGGGUGUAAAGGGAGCGUAGACGGCUGUGCAAGUCUGAAGUGAAAGGCAAGGGCUCAACCUUUGGACUGCUUUGGAAACUGUGCAGCUAGAGUGUCGGAGAAGCAAGUGGAAUUCCUAGUGUAGCGGUGAAAUGCGUAGAUAUUAGGAGGAACACCAGCGGCGAAGGCGGCUUGCUGGACGAUGACUGACGUUGAGGCUCGAAAGCGUGGGGAGCAAACAGG